AAUGGGGGCAACCCUGAUCCAGCCAUGCCGCGUGAGUGAAGAAGGCCUUCGGGUUGUAAAGCUCUUUCGGCCGGGAAGAAAUCGCGCCUUCUAAUACGGGGUGUGGAUGACGGUACCGGAAGAAGAAGCACCGGCUAACUACGUGCCAGCAACCGCGGUAAUACGUAGGGUGCGAGCGUUAAUCGGAAUUACUGGGCGUAAAGCGUGCGCAGGCGGUUACAUAAGACAGAUGUGAAAUCCCCGGGCUUAACCUGGGAACUGCGUUUGUGACUGUGUGACUAGAGUACGGUAGAGGGGGGUGGAAUUCCUGGUGUAGCAGUGAAAUGCGUAGAUAUCAGGAGGAACAUCGAUGGCGAAGGCAGCCCCCUGGACCUGUACUGACGCUCAUGCACGAAAGCGUGGGGAGCAAA
rnacentral:rRNA from 1 species